UGGAUCACGGGUUUAUACAUGCAAGCAUUUGCUAGCAUUCUUGAUAAACCUGGCCAGAUUGAUGUUAUAUUCCUGUAUUGCAGACAGAAAAGCAUUUGAGCUUGUUUGACACUCUAAAUUAAUUGAGAAGCUCUAAAUCGCAAAUCUUCUGCCAUACUUAAUUGGCUGAAUCUCUGCAUACUUAACUAAGCACAAACAAUUCGUCAGCAUAAGCGAUUGCCCUUCCCAUGAAGUGCCAGUUACUUCCAGUGUUCCUCAAAGCAGCAUGCUUGGCCUCUUGUCAUUUUUAAUAUGUAUUAAUGAUAUAGAAGUAGUCAGUCACCCCUUUUAAAUAAAGUUGUUUGCUGAUGAAAUACAUUUCUGUGAGCCCUAACUUCUGUUAUUUCAAUCUCAAAAUUGGCCUUCGUCGGAUAAUUCGAACCUCACUGGUCAGAUUCGCCCAAAUACAGCCGUGUUAUGCGCUGAAGCAUAUGCAACUUACUGUGGUGAAGCAUAUUGAGAAUGGAAAAGGGCCACUGUCACAGGACAUCACACGUGUUCCUUGAUUAUACAAGCAUGCAGUUUCCUGUCACAGUAGGAGAACCUAGCCACCUAAUAAGCAUAGUGGCAGCCAUUCAGAGCUGUUUCUUACGUUUCAGUGGUGAUUUGAGUCCUUUUUUCACCUUCCAUGCAUGUCUCGUGUAUGAGACUGUUAAUGAGGCCUAGUAUGUCUUCUUUAAGUAAAUGUGCCGUGCACAGAGAAGUGGAAAAUAAUCAUGUGUUUUGGGAAAGCUAGCAAAAAGGAAGGCAGUAAGUUGAAAAAACUGCGUUAAGCCGAGGAGAUGUUAAAAGCCAACAAAAGAGUGUGAAUAUAUCAAACUCUGAAGGCCUGCCCAUACACCUAUUAGGCGUCUUGGUGCUCAUACUGUGACUGGAGACUGCACAUGUGCAUGUAUGUAAUUUAGGGAACACGUGCUGAUUUGCAACAAUGGCACCUUUCCCUGCUUGGUAUGGUUCUAUGCAUAACAUGGCUGUAUUGCAGUGAAGCUAACAUUAAGAAAAAUAGUAAACUGGGCGAGUUCGUAGCUGUUGAUGGUUGCAGGUGUAGCGCUAAACUGAAACGCGGCCAAAGUUAAUUUUGAAGGCAAAUACUGCAAAGUGAAGCAAUGGCACGUUUCAAUGUUUUUUUAUGCCUUUUGUUUAAUUCGACCAGUCUCAAUGGUCCCGUCAGGAUCGAAUUAACGGGCAUGCCUCAUAAUCAGAACUGGUUUUGGCAAGUAAAACCCCAGAAAGAUGAUCAAAUUAAUGGAAGUCGACUGUAUAUAUGGCUGAGUAGAGCCACACUGUCUAAAACCGGUACAGCAAAAAAACACCAAGAAACCUAAAUGACCCAUUGCAAAUGCAGUCAACUUUCAUGGCAUGCGAAAAUAAUCUAACUUUCUCACGGACAAUGAUAGUGAUAGUUUGCUGAUACAUUGGUCAGCGGCCGAUAGGAUUUGCCCAGUUUCUACUAUUAAUCUUACACACUUGCGCUUAUCCCUGUAUAUAAUAGCGGUGUCAUUUAGAAGAGGGCGACAUGGACAUGUAUUGCAAUGCAAAGCAAGAAAAUCGUCACCUGAUACACUAUAUUUCUGUGCUCUCUUAAGUUCUCAUUAAUGCAUCUUCCGGUUUGGCCUAUGUAGCAUCUACCGCAUGACAGUGGAAUAUGAUAGACCACUCCUACACCGCAUCCGACGAACUCAUCUUUGCAAUGCUACCACAAACCGGCUUAUUUGUCCUUAUUGGGUUAGUGGUUUUACACAAGGUGCUUAGCUUAUUUGGAGCUGAAAAAACACCCGCACAUUACCUUGGCUUCCUAUCAUUUUCAGGCUAUGUGAUAUCUGGCGUAUAUACGGAAUCUCAGCGGUUUUCACCUGGUCACGGCUGCUAGCUCUUGCAUUUGCACGGAGGCAUCGUCUCGAAAGUUCCUGUUUGAGCAGCCUUUCUGCCACCGACACCAACACGUUGUUAGGCUGUCGUCUUCUCGGAAGCAGGCACUGAUGCUUGGAGACCUGCAGAGCACAAACUGCAGCAUGUAUGCCGAAAUAAACAGCUGUUGCCUAUUUCAAAUAAAACCAAUGUCAGGUGUGGCGAGCCCGGGAGACAGCAAGAGCCGCAGGAGUCCUGGACUAAGGGCGCCUCCCACACAAGCAGAAAUACACCUGCUUUUCCUUUCUUUUCUUUAAUACAAUAGUUUACCUGA